rnacentral:piRNA from 1 species
UGGGAUUAAUGGAAUAUGCUUCCACAA